rnacentral:rRNA from 1 species
ACUUAAAUUGAAGAGUUUGAUCAUGGCUCAGAUUGAACGCUGGCGGCAGGCCUAACACAUGCAAGUCGAGCGGCAGCGGAAAGUAGCUUGCUACUUUGCCGGCGAGCGGCGGACGGGUGAGUAAUGUCUGGGAAACUGCCUGAUGGAGGGGGAUAACUACUGGAAACGGUAGCUAAUACCGCAUAACG